CAUCAGAAUUGAAGUCACCUUGCUCAUGCCAAAGAACCUUCUGGGCAAGUGACCUCGAUGGGAACAAUGCCUGCCAUCCGCUGGAGACGUACAUCAAAUGCCUGACCGACGCAGGAGAAGAAGACACUUGUUUGGCUGGAGUCAAAGCAUCUGCACUGGUUGUGUACCCCACGGCGAGACUUCAAUCCCUAACAUGUAAUGCUGGAGUUUCCACUCUGCGGAAGUGCAGUGCGAUCGCUUUUCUCCUUCCCCUCAUCCUGGUGGCCUUUCUCCCUGUUUAAACCAGCCGUCAAACAUGUAUGCAGUUGUUUGUAACUGUUAAUUAUUUUUUUAUCAUUAAGUUUGUGUAUUCCAAGCAUUAACAUUCCUCUUAAGACUGUAGUUAUUCUGUUUAAUCUGGCAUUCUUUGAAAUAGAAUUAAAAUAUCAACGUUGUUAAUCUUUGGAAAAUUGUGUGCAGUGUUACAUGUAUUAAUUCAAACUAUUUUGUCAGUGAUUUGUGUCAUUGAAGAAAGAUACUGUUAACUGGCUAAGGGGUCACAAAAUCACUUUUAGAGUACAUACAAUUAGGCAAUACUGAUGACAUUUUCUGAUGACGUGGGACUCCGAACACUGACGUAUAGAAACUGCCAUCAACCCUUUGGUCACUUUGACAGUAUAUUCUACUGUUAAUUUGUCUGUACAUUCAGAAGAUGGAUAUUGCAUGGACUUACAUAUGCUAAACAUUUAACAAGAACUUCGUUCCUAAUAAACGAAUUACUCAGA